rnacentral:hammerhead_ribozyme from 1 species
AAACUGCUGAAGAGUCCCAGAAUAGAACGAAACGCCGUCCAAUGC